ensembl:lncRNA
GUUUUGUGACGUCCGCCUCUUAGUCUCUUGCAUUUUGUAAUAAGCUGAUGAGGUGGCUAUGGCUGUGCUCCAUUUUACAGACGCACAGAAAGAGGAGCAGCUCCUGGCUGGCCAGGAAGUAGCCGAGCUGGCCUUGACGCACCAAGCUUCUCCCCUCUCAUGGGUGAGCACAGGAGGUAUGCGAUGGCUAUUUUGUUAACAUCAAUUUAGAGUCAGUCAAGUUGGAGAAGGAAAUGGCAACCCACUCCAGUGUUCUUGCCUGGAGAAUUCCAGGGACGGCGGAGCCUGGUGGGCUGCCGUCUAUGGGGUUGCACAGAGUUGGACACGACUGAAGUGACUUAGCAGCAGCUGCAGCAGAGCAGUCGAGAGCAAGCUAACAAACUCCUACCCAUUCUUUAAUUCUCCAGCUAAAUGGCACUUCCCCAAAGAACUCCCUCAUGGGAAACAGCCCUGGCUCCCCCACACCAUCCGCUGUUUUCGGAGUCCUUGGUAGCUUUCAUUCAGGGCACUUAUCACCAGCAUAGCUAUUUAUUAUCCGUUUGCUGUUUAUGCCAUGGUGCCGCCUUCUGCCUUUUCUGUUGCUGUCAUCACGGACCUCCCAGAUCUCCUGCUCAGGUGUUGGCACCGGGUGCCCCGAUCGCUUCCAUUUCCAGUCCUACCCACUCCUGGAUGCAUUCAACCUCGCAUGGGGGACACCUGUUCUUCUGCUCUCCAGCCCUUCCUCUCUGUCCACCUCAGGGGCUGCCCCUACCAGCUCGUGCUGCACCACAGUUGACCUGAAGCAGCUCCUCCUCAAAUGCAGGAGCUGCGCCAGCUCUGCCUGGCAUGCUCAUCCAGUCAUUCCACCUACAACCAUCCUGUAUGCUCACCCGUGCACUGCGCCUGCUCCAGAGGGCACCUCUCCCUCCUUCACGUCUUUCUCAUGGAUUACAGUCUACGGCCGACCAGGCUCCCUUGGGAUGAGUUCUUCCUCCAGGGCCCUAGAUUAUCUCCUGCCAAGGCCAAAGUCAGAACCACCUCCAUCCAUCAGCAAGAUGUAAGGGAGGGAAGCUGCUGCUGCUGCUGCUGCUAAGUCGCUUCAGUCGUGUCCGACUCUGUGCAACCCCAUAGACAGCAGCCCACCAGGCUUCCCUGUCCCUGGGAUUCUCCAGGCAAGAACACUGGAGUGGGCUGCCAUCUCCCUCUCCAAUGCAUGAAAGUGAGAAGUAAAAGUGAAGUCACUCAGUCGUGUCUGACUCUUAGCGACCCCAUGGACUGCAGCCUACCAGGCUCCUCCUUCCAUGGGAUUUUCCAGGCAAAAGUACUGGAGUGGGGUGCCAUUGCCUUCUCCGUUUUUCCAAAGCAUAAUAUAUUUAUUUCAAAGAAAUAUAGUAAGGUGAUUAAUAAGAAAUGCUCUUGUAGUAAAACUAUUACAUUGGGAUAAAAUUCUGUGGGGAGGAAGUAUAUGGA